rnacentral:lncRNA from 1 species
AUAAGAACAUAAGGUUCAUAAGGUUGAAAAGAAGGUGUUUGUCAUUUGGCUACACAAGACAUAAGGAUUCUCUUUCACUCUCAUAAGGCAUAAUUCAUAUAUUCUCUACUCAAACUCCCAUUACUUAGUAGAGGAUAAUUCGGAUAUGAAGAGCUAGAAGACCAUCUACCUAUCAUCUUCUUGUAAGAUGAGUUUAAGUAAGUGUUUCAAGCUUUCUUAAUUUUUAGUUCUAACCAUAUACACUAGUAGAUCAAGGGGCGUAAGGAUUUAUGUGGAGUAGAUACCACCUACAUUAAGUAUACAUAAAUCUAUCAAGUGGUAUCAGAGCCUACUACUAUGUGUAUAUGGUGGUUGUAUGUGUUCAUGAUUUUGUAUUUAGGUUAUUUAUCAAAUUCACGAAUUUAAAGUUUGAGAUUUUAUUAAUUGUGCAUAAGAAUCAUGAUUAGAGUUAAGGUUUUGUUUUAUCAUGAUUUAAUGAGAUUUAUUAUGCAUGAGUUUCGGAUUUAAAAUCUCAAGAAAGCUUGAUUUCAUGUUAAAAUGGUGUUUUAGCUCAAGGUUGAAGAUAAUGGCAUUUUGGUAAUUAUUUAAAAACAAAUUUAAUAAAUCUUCCUAUAUAUUAAUUGAGAAGUCACUAUAGUUAUUUAUGCUGACGUGUCACUCAUAGAAGAGGUCUCCAAUUAAUUGUUAUAAUUUGAUUGGUUGAUGGUUUUUCAUUUUUCAUUUAUUAAAUAAAAAUAUUUUAAAGGAAAUUAUUCAUAGAAUUACCU